UAUAACUAACUCAAUAAUAUGAUUGGAACGAUACACAGAAGAUUAGCAUGGCCCCUGUGCAAGGAUGACACACACAAAUCGAGAAAUAUGAUUGAAUAUU